AAAUAUGGCAGAAGUAGGCUAGAUGUUAGCUUUUAGUUUAGAGGUUACAAAAUAUGGCAGAAGUAGAUGUUAGCUUUUAGUUUAGAGGUUACCAAAUAUGGCUGAAGUAGAUGUAAGCUUUUAGUUUAGAGGUUACAAAAUAUGGCAGAAGUAGAUGUUAGCUUUUAGUUUAGAGGUUACAAAAUAUGGCAGAAGUAGAUGUUAGCUUUUAGUUUAGAGGUUACUAAAUAUGGCUGAAG
rnacentral:sRNA from 1 species